UAAUACGUAUGGUGCGAACGUUAUUCGGAAUUACUGGGCAUAAAGGGCGCGUAGGCGGUUUGGUAAGUCUGCAUGUGAAAUCCCUCGGCUCAACCGAGGAACUGCAUCGGAAACUGCCAGACUAGAGUGCAGGAGGGGAGAGCGGAAUUCCUGGUGGAGCGGUGAAAUGCGUAGAUAUCAGGAGGAACGCCAGUGGCGAAAGCGGCUCUCUGGUCUGCAACUGACGCUGAGGCGCGAAAGCUAGGGGAGCGAACGGGAUUAGAUACCCCGGUAGUCCUAGCCCUAAACGAUGGGCACUAGGUAGAGGAAGUUUUAGAGCUUUCUCUGCUGUAGCUAAUGUAUUAAGUGCCCCGCCUGGGGAGUAUGGUCGCAAGGCUA
rnacentral:rRNA from 1 species